GGUAUUAAAGAGUUUUAUUAAACUUAAGCUUAGAUCAUUUUGGGGGUUUAGCUCAGUUGGCUAGAGCAUCGGCUUUGCAAGCCGAGGGUCAAGGGUUCGAGUCCCUUAACCUCCAUUGAGCAUGUGUCUUGAAUUGUGAUUAAUUAUGCUUUCAACUACUUUAAUAAAAGUAGUUAUUGGAAUGUAAAACAGAGUAAUUUAAGAUUUCUGGGUUAAAGUUGGGAUCUGCCUGUUGAUAUUAAUAAGAAUGCCUAGAAGCGAGGACAAACUUUUGAUAAAAAGCGGAUUUGUUUCUCUAUAGUACAAGGAUUGAGCAGCAUUAUAUUUUCCAACAGCCUAUUCUAUAAACGAGCUACAUUUAUUACUAGCUUUUAGUUAGGAAUUGAUGUGGAUUUCCAGUUGUGGUGCUUGGGAGGGGGUAAGCAUUGUAGCGAGCCGUCACCCUUGUUAUCUUUGCCAGUAUGUAAGGAUAUUCUAGACAAGACUGUUAAUUAUAAGUUGGAGGAAAGCCAAGUUUGCGCUAAAUCAGCAUGUUUCUUGUGACCUAGAUUAUAAGCUUGCCGUAAUAGCCUAAAAAAGCUA
rnacentral:tRNA from 1 species